rnacentral:lncRNA from 1 species
UGAGCUUUGAAAUAUCGAGAUGCAUGAUGUAACAAUAGGGGAUGGGUACAUUACACACUGUCUAGGAUCUAACCUACAAAGAGUAUCAGUAGGCACUAAUCCUGGAAACAGGCCUGGUGUCAACCCUAAAGGAUGAAUUUUGAUGAUUACAAAACACUUGAGAUCAUGUUGUGUACUAAUGACAUUGGCCUAAUUGUGAAGAUUUCUAAGUUAAGAAAAAUCAGAAGGAAUGAAGCACUGCAAAAUCAUAAGUUCUUCGCAAACAUCUCAUUGGACAUGUUCCAAAAGAAAAUGAUCAUAAUCUAAUCCAUGGAGAUCAGAGAUGACUAAAGUUUUCUGUUUGAAAAACUUGAGUCAACACCUAAGCAAAAAGGACAAGUUUAAGUUGAUUCUGAUAAGUUUUAUUCAAAGAACACAGUCAAUGAGUCGACCCCUGCAAAACAUAAGUCGACCCUUGUGUAGUUUGAAGUAAAUAGAAAGUUUUUACCGCCCGAGAGAAGCUUGAAGAGUCGACCCUGGUUCAAAAUGAGUCGACCCCCGAAAUUGAAGAGUCGACCCUUGCAUUUGAAGAGUCGACCCCAGCUCAGUUUAAGCGACAGCCGGAAAAUUAUGGUAUGAGUCGACUCUUGCAUUUAAAGAGGCGACUCCUGAAGACGAUGAGUCGACCCUUGUGUUUAAAAAGGCGACUCCUAAUGAAGAUGAGCCGACCCUUAAGAAUUAAGAGUCGACCCUUUGAAGAUGACACAGCAAAAGCUUUCUCCGCAUUUUGAAGUGCCGAUCCAGAAUGAACAUGAGUCGACCCCUGAGUUAUAUGAGCCGACCCUUGUACUGCUGGGACCACAACGGGAAGCUGUGAACGACUUUUGUCUUCUAUCAUAGAAAAAGAUUCUCAUCAGAAUGGGAAGAAAGGAAUUCAAAUCCCGCCGAAGAAUUUGUCUAUAAAUACGAGGGAACCUCAGAAUAGAAACAACAAGGAAAGGGAAAAGAUUCUAUUGAAAACAAAAGGUUUCCACCGACAAAAAGAGAAGAAAAGCUUAACAGUUCAUCAUCUUCACCAGCACUGUAAUCUGAAACUUUCUCUUGUGAGGAGAUCAGUCGAAGUUUCUCACUACAUCGUGAAGAGCUUUGUUCGGACAUUGGAACAUCCUUCCACACCCAACUUCUUCAUCGGCUUCAGCUUUUACUUUCAUUGAUUUAUUCUUUAUAUGCUCUGAAGCUUUAAGUUUUCUAGUUACAGCAUUUUUUUAGUUGGAUUAAUGGCUGCUGUAACAGUUUCAUUGAUUUGAAACUUGUAAAGGCUCUUCCAAGCCUCGAUUGGAAGUUGUUGAAUCGGAAAUAUUCAGCAAGGGAAAAGUUUCUGGUUAGUUAAUUUGAAAACCAACUAAGUUGUUUGNNNNNNNNNNNNNNNNNNNNNNNNNNNNNNNNNNNNNNNNNNNNNNNNNNNNNNNNNNNNNNNNNNNNNNNCCCGGGAAAACAAACGGUGUAAAGUUUUUGGUUGGUUUAUCUGAAAACCAACUGGGUUGUUUGUGAUCCCGGAAAACAAAAGGUUUUCGGUUGGUUGCCUGGAAAAACCAACUGGGUUUUGAUUGUGAGCUCGGAAAACAAUCAGGCUGUAAUCUGCUGGGUUAUAGUGAAAUCUCAAGCUAGGCUUGAGGAGUGGACGUAGGUGCUGGGAGUGCACCGAACCACUAUAAACCUUCGUAUUUGUGAUUGUGGGUCUUCUCUUCCUUUCCUCUGCAUAUUCCUGACUGCUUUCCUAACUUUAUUCACUAUCGUAUUUGUGCAAUCUUAUUUCCGCUGCCGAAUCUAUAAGAUAACAGUAACUCAUACUCUCCAUACGUUUUAACUUUAAUUAUUUUUAAAGAGAUCCAAUUCACCUCCCCUCUUGGGCUGCACCUCUGGGCAACACCUGGACUAGCCCAACACCAAUUGGCCUAGGCUGAAUUCUAGCCAGGCUUUGCACCAGGUUUUAGGUUGGGUCUCUAACUCUCUAUAGGUUCAGGUCAAGCCUGCACCCGAAAUUUAAGACACGAAAGGAUCCAGGCCAUGUUGAGGCAACCAUUGGCCAGCCUCAAAGCCCUAACCAUAUAUUAUUGUUUUAUAUUAUAUACUUUUUAUAUUUAAAAUCCAAGUCAUCCAUUUUGAAUAGAUGGAUGGGAUCUACUAUUCCCAAGGAGAAAUCCUCACCAACUUUGUUUCCCAAACCUUAUCUCAUCAACGAAAGCACUAUGGAUGGGAUCUAUAUACUUGAGCUCUGCUUCCUCCUGAAUACACUUCAGCCUCAACCUCAGAUUGUAGUAAAUAUAAACAAGAUCGUUGAGACCAAGGUCCGCUGUACCAACCAUACCGACGUACCGGUGGGCAUCGGUAUCGGUACGGUACCGGUACUAUACCGAACCGAACCGGCACUGUACCGGUUCGGCUGGUUCGGGCCAAAAGCCAAAAAAAAUUUGAGGUCAGUACGAGCCGGUCGGUACGGGCCGGUACGGGAUCGGUACGGCCGGUACCGGGCCGGUACGGCCGAUACCGGAUCGGUACGGGGCAGUACCGGGUCGGUACCGACUGGUACGAGUUACGAAUAGUCGGAACCGAAAAAUAUAGCUACAUCGUACCGGUUCCGUCUGGUACCGAUAUGUACCGGCCUGUACCGAUCCGUACCGAUCGGUACGGCAGACCAUGGUUGAGACGCUUCUUGUAUCAAACGGUUCCUCUGCUUAUUGUGGAUGAGGGGCUAAGGUGGACUAGUUGCACUCACAGCCACUCGAGAAGACCGUCUGAAAAAGAAUCCGGAUAGCUAGCUGCUUAAGAUUUUUCGCGGAAAGCACAAAAUGAAUCCACCAUUCAGUUGCAAAAAUAUUGAAAAAAAUUAUAUAUAAGAUAAUACCACAUUAGUAAUCAUCUAAUGCCAGGUAAAUAUCCUCCUGACACAGCAAAAGCUUUCUCCGCAUUUUAAAGUGCCGAUCCAGAAUGAACAUGAGUCGACCCCUGAGUUAUAUGAGCCGACCCUUGUACUGCUGGGACCACAACGGGAAGCUGUGAACUACUUUUGUCUUCUUCUAUAACAGAAAAAGAUUCUCAUCAGAAUGGGAAGAAAGAAAUUCAAAUCCCGCCGAAGAAUUUGUCUAUAAAUACGAGGGAACCUCAGAAUAGAAACAACAAGGAAAGGGAAAAGAUUCUAUUGAAAACAAAAGGUUUCCACCGACAAAAAGAGAAGAAAAGCUUAACAGUUCAUCAUCUUCACCAGCACUGUAAUCUGAAACUUUCUCUUGUGAGGAGAUCAGUCGAAGUUUCUCACUACAUCGUGAAGAGCUUUGUUCGGACAUUGGAACAUCCUUCCACACCCAACUUCUUCAUCGGCUUCAGCUUUUACUUUCAUUGAUUUAUUCUUUAUAUGCUCUGAAGCUUUAAGUUUUCUAGUUACAGCAUUUUUUUAGUUGGAUUAAUGGCUGCUGUAACAGUUUCAUUGAUUUGAAACUUGUAAAGGCUCUUCCAAGCCUCGAUUGGAAGUUGUUGAAUCGGAAAUAUUCAGCAAGGGAAAAGUUUCUGGUUAGUUAAUUUGAAAACCAACUAAGUUGUUUG